CACGUAGGGGGCAAGCGUUGUCCGGAUUUAUUGGGCGUAAAGAGCUCGUAGGCGGUUCGGUAAGUCGGGUGUGAAACCUCCAGGCUCAACCUGGAGACGCCACCCGAUACUGCUGUGACUAGAGUCCGGUAGGGGAGCGUGGAAUUCCCGGUGUAGCGGUGAAAUGCGCAGAUAUCGGGAGGAACACCAGUGGCGAAGGCGGCACUCUGGGCCGGUACUGACGCUGAGGAGCGAAAGCGUGGGGAGCGAACAGG
rnacentral:rRNA from 1 species